UACGGGGGGAGCAAGCGUUGUUCGGAUUUACUGGGCGUAAAGGGCGCGUAGGCGGCCAGCACAAGUCAGUUGUGAAAUCUCUGGGCUUAACCCAGAAAGGUCAACCGAUACUGCGGGGCUAGAGUGCAGAAGGGGCAACUGGAAUUCUCGGUGUAGCGGUGAAAUGCGUAGAUAUCGAGAGGAACACCUGCGGCGAAGGCGGGUUGCUGGGCUGACACUGACGCUGAAGCGCGAAAGCUAGGGGAGCGAACGGG
rnacentral:rRNA from 1 species